UCACUUGAAGUAGAAAAUUCAAAACAGAACGAUGGAGUUCCAGGUCUAUUUGAAGAUUAACAAAAGUACAAUUAAAACAUUAAACCUGCCAACACCAGCACCAAAUGAAGGAAACGGGAAACUCACCGUUGGAGAUUUAAAGAAACAAGCCAUAAGUCAUUUUCCUGGAGUAAAUGAUCUCAACCAACUGAGGUUGAUUUUCGAUGGAAAGGACCUUGAAGAAAAUAAAAAACUUACUGAAUACAAGAUUCAGGAACUCUCUGUCAUUCAAGCCGUGUUGAAAAUGCGUGGUGGAGAAACCUGCUCACAUUAAGAGUUUCGAAGCCAACCAGUGUCUAGUGAGAUCCAGGCCCACUUCAUGAUGAAGAGUUUCCCAGGAUUCGGUCGAUCCUUUAUCGCUUAUCUUUCAGCCGCCAGAUGUUUUGGACUUCGAUUCAUUUGAAAUAAAAAAAAAUAAUAAUAAAAGUACAUAUUAUAUUACAAAUGUACUAAGAAAAUCAGUAAAUAAUCAAAUGAAAAAAAAAAAAAUAUUGUUUCUAGGGAAGAUAAUUACGUUGAUCUUAAGUGUCUCAGAAAAAUCAUUAGCAUGUCAUAAAAAAAUAUUUUCUCAAACUGUGGCAGGGGUGAGGGAUAUAAUAAGCACAUUUUAAGGAGUAGCCUAUACUUAUACCUUAUAUAAAACAAAUAAAAAGCUAAUUUGUUUGUAAGCUAUUUAAGUAUGUUUCAUUAGCUAAUUAUAUAGAUAUUAUAGCUUACUUUUUUUUUCAUCUGUAAUUUUUUCACACAAAAGAUACCAUAAAGUAGAUUUACAUGUCACGUUUUACAUGCAGAAAAACAAACGUUUUCCAAACUUGUCAAACUUUUACAAUAAACAAUUAGAUGGUCCUGCUGUUCUUGUUGUCACUUUUAGUCAUAUGAUUCAUAUUUUUACUGAUUUUCACCAUGAUUACAGUUUGCGGGUAAAGCAUUGAGGACAUAUUAUUUUGUAAUUUAUUGUGUAUAAAAUAUGCAUGUAUAAUUAGUGCACUGUACAUAUAAGAUGAACAAUUAUGAAUGUAAAAUUAUAAUGCAUAAUUAAUAGUAAUUGAACAUUAUAAUAAAAUCAGUUAAUAAAUAUGAAUCAGUUAAUAAACAUGAAUCAGUUAAUAAACAGCCACUUGAGGUGGACAUCUGAAUUGCAUUAAGUUGGGACACUUUGGAAUAAACUUUCAUUUUAGUUAUCUUACUGU